AUCUUUAGGAGGUUGUCUUUGGUGGCUUUGGAUGUCAGCUGUUCUGUUUGUGACUGUGGUUAUUGGGUUGCUGGGAAUUGGGUUUGGUCCUUGAAGUGGAGAAGAAAUUUAUUUGUGUGGGAAGAUGCUCUAGAGAGGCAAUUGUAUGACCUUAUUUAGCCUUUUUCGUGUCAGCAGGGAAGGCUGGACUCGUGGGGAUGGAGUUUAUGUUCAGCAGGGGUGUAUUCUGUGAGGUCUGCUUACGAGGCGCAAAUGCAGAAUUC
rnacentral:lncRNA from 1 species